rnacentral:tRNA from 1 species
GUCCCCGUAGCUUAUACAAAGCAUGGCACUGAAGAUGCCAAGAUGGCUGCUACAAACACCCGAGGACA